rnacentral:rRNA from 1 species
UGGGGGCGGCGAAGGGCGGCAGCAACGA